rnacentral:rRNA from 1 species
GUUGUAUGGUUAAGUGACUAAGCGUACACGGUGGAUGCCUUGGCAGUCAGAGGCGAUGAAAGACGUAGUAACUUGCGAUAAGCCCAGAUUAGGUAGUAACAACCAUUUGAGUCUGGGAUUUCUGAAUGGGGAAACCCACUUACAUAAGUAAGUAUCAUUAACUGAAUACAUAGGUUAAUGAGGCGAACCGGGGGAACUGAAACAUCUAAGUACCCCGAGGAAAAGAAAUCAACCGAGAUUCCGAAAGUAGCGGCGAGCGAAAUUGGACUAGCCCUUAAGCUUUACACGCGUUAGACGAACGGUCUGGAAAGUCCGACGAUACAGGGUGAUAGUCCCGUAGUUGACGACGUGUGUUCAGUGAAAUCGAGUAGGGCGGGACACGUGAUAUCCUGUCUGAAUAUGGGGGGACCAUCCUCCAAGGCUAAAUACUACUGACUGACCGAUAGUGAACCAGUACCGUGAGGGAAAGGCGAAAAGAACCCCUGUGAGGGGAGUGAAAUAGAACCUGAAACCGUGUACGUACAAGCAGUAGGAGCAGGCUUUGUCCUGUGACUGCGUACCUUUUGUAUAAUGGGUCAGCGACUUAUAUUCAGUGGCAAGGUUAACCAUCUAGGGGAGCCGUAGGGAAACCGAGUCUUAACUGGGCGUUCAGUCUCUGGAUAUAGACCCGAAACCAGGUGAUCUAGCCAUGGGCAGGUUGAAGGUUGAGUAACAUCAACUGGAGGACCGAACCGACUAAUGUUGAAAAAUUAGCGGAUGACUUGUGGCUAGGGGUGAAAGGCCAAUCAAACCUGGAGAUAGCUGGUUCUCCCCGAAAGCUAUUUAGGUAGCGCCUCGGACGAAUACUACUGGGGGUAGAGCACUGUUAAGGCUAGGGGGUCAUCCCGACUUACCAACCCUUUGCAAACUCCGAAUACCAGUAAGUACUAUCCGGGAGACACACGGCGGGUGCUAACGUCCGUCGUGGAGAGGGAAACAACCCAGACCGCCAGCUAAGGUCCCAAAUUACUACUAAGUGGGAAACGAUGUGGGAAGGCUCAGACAGCCAGGAUGUUGGCUUAGAAGCAGCCAUCAUUUAAAGAAAGCGUAAUAGCUCACUGGUCGAGUCGGCCUGCGCGGAAGAUGUAACGGGGCUAAGUAGUAAACCGAAGCUGCGGCAAUAUACUUUUGUAUAUUGGGUAGGGGAGCGUUCUGUAAGCGGUUGAAGGUGUGUGGUAACGCAUGCUGGACGUAUCAGAAGUGCGAAUGCUGACAUGAGUAACGAUAAAGGGGGUGAAAAACCUCCUCGCCGGAAGACCAAGGGUUCCUGUCCAACGUUAAUCGGGGCAGGGUAAGUCGACCCCUAAGGCGAGGCCGAAAGGCGUAGUCGAUGGGAAACGGGUUAAUAUUCCCGUACUUCUUACAAUUGCGAUGGGGGGACGGAGAAGGCUAGGUGGGCCUGGCGACGGUUGUCCAGGUUCAAGUGCGUAGGCUUAAGAGUUAGGUAAAUCCGGCUCUUUCUAAGGCUGAGACACGACGUCGAGCACCUACGGGUGUGAAGUCAUUGAUGCCAUGCUUCCAGGAAAAGCCUCUAAGCUUCAGAUUGUAAGGAAUCGUACCCCAAACCGACACAGGUGGUCGGGUAGAGAAUACCAAGGCGCUUGAGAGAACUCGGGUGAAGGAACUAGGCAAAAUGGUACCGUAACUUCGGGAGAAGGUACGCUCUUGAUGGUGAAGUCCCUCGCGGAUGGAGCUGACGAGAGUCGCAGAUACCAGGUGGCUGCAACUGUUUAUUAAAAACACAGCACUGUGCAAAAUCGUAAGAUGACGUAUACGGUGUGACGCCUGCCCGGUGCCGGAAGGUUAAUUGAUGGGGUUAGACUUCGGUCGAAGCUCUUGAUCGAAGCCCCGGUAAACGGCGGCCGUAACUAUAACGGUCCUAAGGUAGCGAAAUUCCUUGUCGGGUAAGUUCCGACCUGCACGAAUGGCGUAAUGAUGGCCACGCUGUCUCCACCCGAGACUCAGUGAAAUUGAAAUCGCUGUGAAGAUGCAGUGUACCCGCGGCUAGACGGAAAGACCCCGUGAACCUUUACUACAGCUUGGCACUGAACAUUGACCCUACAUGUGUAGGAUAGGUGGGAGGCUUUGAAGCACGUACGCCAGUAUGUGUGGAGCCGUCCUUGAAAUACCACCCUUGUAGUGUUGAUGUUCUAACGUCGACCCCUUAUCGGGGUUGCGGACAGUGCCUGGUGGGUAGUUUGACUGGGGCGGUCUCCUCCCAAAGAGUAACGGAGGAGCACGAAGGUGGGCUAAUCACGGUUGGACAUCGUGAGGUUAGUGCAAUGGCAUAAGCCCGCUUGACUGCGAGAAUGACAAUUCGAGCAGGUGCGAAAGCAGGUCAUAGUGAUCCGGUGGUUCUGAAUGGAAGGGCCAUCGCUCAACGGAUAAAAGGUACUCCGGGGAUAACAGGCUGAUACCGCCCAAGAGUUCAUAUCGACGGCGGUGUUUGGCACCUCGAUGUCGGCUCAUCACAUCCUGGGGCUGAAGUCGGUCCCAAGGGUAUGGCUGUUCGCCAUUUAAAGUGGUACGCGAGCUGGGUUUAGAACGUCGUGAGACAGUUCGGUCCCUAUCUGCCGUGGGCGUUGGAAGAUUGAAGGGGGCUGCUCCUAGUACGAGAGGACCGGAGUGGACGAACCUCUGGUGUUCGGGUUGUGUCGCCAGACGCAUUGCCCGGUAGCUAAGUUCGGAAUCGAUAACCGCUGAAAGCAUCUAAGCGGGAAGCGAGCCCUGAGAUGAGUCUUCCCUGAUACUUUAAGUAUCCUAAAGGGUUGUCGGAGACUACGACGUUGAUAGGUCAGGUGUGUAAGUGCUGUGAGGCAUUGAGCUAACUGAUACUAAUUGCCCGUGAG